rnacentral:tRNA from 3 species
UUGUUUGAUGGCUGAGUUAAAAGCGGUAGACUGUAGAUCUAUUUACGGAAUUAAGUUUCCUCAACAAA